AGAGUUUGAUCCUGGCUCAGAUUGAACGCUGGCGGCAGGCCUAACACAUGCAAGUCGAACGGUAACAGGAAGCAGCUUGCUGCUUCGCUGACGAGUGGCGGACGGGUGAGUAAUGUCUGGGAAGCUGCCUGAUGGAGGGGGAUAACUACUGGAAACGGUGGCUAAUACCGCAUAACGUCGCAAGACCAAAGAGGGGGACCUUCGGGCCUCUUGCCAUCAGAUGUGCCCAGAUGGGAUUAGCUAGUUGGUGAGGUAACGGCUCACCAAGGCGACGAUCCCUAGCUGGUCUGAGAGGAUGACCAGCCACACUGGAACUGAGACACGGUCCAGACUCCUACGGGAGGCAGCAGUGGGGAAUAUUGCACAAUGGGCGCAAGCCUGAUGCAGCCAUGCCGCGUGUAUGAAGAAGGCCUUAGGGUUGUAAAGUACUUUCAGCGGGGAGGAAGGUGUUGUGGUUAAUAACCGCAGCAAUUGACGUUACCCGCAGAAGAAGCACCGGCUAACUCCGUGCCAGCAGCCGCGGUAGUACGGAGGGUGCAAGCGUUAAUCGGAAUUACUGGGCGUAAAGCGCACGCAGGCGGUCUGUCAAGUCGGAUGUGAAAUCCCCGGGCUCAACCUGGGAACUGCAUUCGAAACUGGCAGGCUUGAGUCUUGUAGAGGGGGGUAGAAUUCCAGGUGUAGCGGUGAAAUGCGUAGAGAUCUGGAGGAAUACCGGUGGCGAAGGCGGCCCCCUGGACAAAGACUGACGCUCAGGUGCGAAAGCGUGGGGAGCAAACAGGAUUAGAUACCCUGGUAGUCCACGCCGUAAACGAUGUCUACUUGGAGGUUGUGCCCUUGAGGCGUGGCUUCCGGAGCUAACGCGUUAAGUAGACCGCCUGGGGAGUACGGCCGCAAGGUUAAAACUCAAAUGAAUUGACGGGGGCCCGCACAAGCGGUGGAGCAUGUGGUUUAAUUCGAUGCAACGCGAAGAACCUUACCUGGUCUUGACAUCCACAGAAGAAUCCAGAGAUGGAUUUGUGCCUUCGGGAACUGUGAGACAGGUGCUGCAUGGCUGUCGUCAGCUCGUGUUGUGAAAUGUUGGGUUAAGUCCCGCAACGAGCGCAACCCUUAUCCUUUGUUGCCAGCGAUUAGGUCGGGAACUCAAAGGAGACUGCCAGUGAUAAACUGGAGGAAGGUGGGGAUGACGUCAAGUCAUCAUGGCCCUUACGACCAGGGCUACACACGUGCUACAAUGGCGCAUACAAAGAGAAGCGACCUCGCGAGAGCAAGCGGACCUCAUAAAGUGCGUCGUAGUCCGGAUUGGAGUCUGCAACUCGACUCCAUGAAGUCGGAAUCGCUAGUAAUCGUGGAUCAGAAUGCCACGGUGAAUACGUUCCCGGGCCUUGUACACACCGCCCGUCACACCAUGGGAGUGGGUUGCAAAAGAAGUAGGUAGCUUAACCUUCGGGAGGGCGCUUACCACUUUGUGAUUCAUGACUGGGGUGAAGUCGUAACAAGGUAACC
rnacentral:rRNA from 1 species